rnacentral:rRNA from 1 species
AGUGAACGCUGGCGGUAGGCCUAACACAUGCAAGUCGAACGGCAGCACAGUAAGAGCUUGCUCUUACGGGUGGCGAGUGGCGGACGGGUGAGGAAUACAUCGGAAUCUACUUUUUCGUGGGGGAUAACGUAGGGAAACUUACGCUAAUACCGCAUACGACCUACGGGUGAAAGCAGGGGAUCUUCGGACCUUGCGCGAUUGAAUGAGCCGAUGUCGGAUUAGCUAGUUGGCGGGGUAAAGGCCCACCAAGGCGACGAUCCGUAGCUGGUCUGAGAGGAUGGUCAGCCACACUGGAACUGAGACACGGUCCAGACUCCGACGGGAGGCAGCAGUGGGGAAUAUUGGACAAUGGGCGCAAGCCUGAUCCAGCCAUACCGCGUGGGUGAAGAAGGCCUUCGGGUUGUAAAGCCCUUUUGUUGGGAAAGAAAAGCAGCAGGUUAAUACCCCGCUGUUCUGACGGUACCCAAAGAAUAAGCACCGGCUAACUUCGUG